UACGUAGGGGGCUAGCGUUGUCCGGAAUCAUUGGGCGUAAAGAGCGCGUAGGCGGCUAGAUAAGUCCGGUGUGAAAGUCACAGGCUCAACCUGUGAAUGCCGCUGGAAACUGUCUGGCUAGAGUCCGGAAGGGGCGAGUGGAAUUCCUGGUGUAGCGGUGAAAUGCGCAGAUAUCAGGAGGAACACCAAUAGCGAAGGCAGCUCGCUGGGACGGUACUGACGCUAAGGCGCGAAAGCGUGGGGAGCGAACAGG
rnacentral:rRNA from 1 species